ensembl:snoRNA SNORD82 Small nucleolar RNA SNORD82
AGCACAAGUGAUGAGUUUUGGGACUUAAUACUGAUCUGGUGAUGUCUCAUGUAAGAUCUGAUGUGU